rnacentral:rRNA from 1 species
UACGAAGGGGGCGAGCGUUGUUCGGAAUUACUGGGCGUAAAGGGCGCGCAGGCGGCUCAGACAGUCAGAUGUGAAAUCCCCGGGCUCAACCUGGGAACUGCAUUUGUGACUGCAUCGCUGGAGUGCGGCAGAGGGGGAUGGAACUCCGCGUGUAGCAGUGAAAUGCGUAGAUAUGCGGAGGAACACCGAUGGCGAAGGCAAUCCCCUGGGCCUGCACUGACGCUCAUGCACGAAAGCGUGGGGAGCAAACAGG